rnacentral:rRNA from 1 species
GACGAACGCUGGCGGCGUGCCUAAUACAUGCAAGUUGAGCGCUGAAGGUUGGUACUUGUACCAACUGGAUGAGCAGCGAACGGGUGAGUAACGCGUGGGGAAUCUGCCUUUGAGCGGGGGACAACAUUUGGAAACGAAUGCUAAUACCGCAUAAAAACUUUAAACACAAGUUUUAAGUUUGAAAGAUGCAAUUGCAUCACUCAAAGAUGAUCCCGCGUUGUAUUAGCUAGUUGGUGAGGUAAAGGCUCACCAAGGCGAUGAUACAUAGCCGACCUGAGAGGGUGAUCGGCCACAGUGGGACUGAGACACGGCCCAAACUCCUACGGGAGGCAGCAGUAGGGGAUCUUCGGCAAGGGACGAAAGUCUGACCGAGCAACGCCGCGUGAGUGAAGAAGGUUGUCGGGUCGUAAAACUCUGUUGGUAGAGAAGAACGUUGGUGAGAGUGGAAAGCUCAUCAAGUGACGGUAACUACCCAGAAAGGGACGGCUAACUACGUG